rnacentral:lncRNA from 1 species
CCUCUGAAAGGUCUUACUUUGGAUGAAUUCAGCUAUAAGAAUUCUGGAUCUGGGCAAUGAUGAUGAGAAAGACUAGGAGACUUGGCGACAAGCAAAUCACAUCUGAGAGAUUUUUGGGUGUCAGCUCUUUUACAAAUGUCUGCAAGUGCUUGCCGAUGCUGUACCAUGAGACGUGAUGAGCCGUUUGCCCAACGGUUGCUUAACUAGAGGGGGACGCAGAGCCAGGAUUUGAGCGCAGGGUUUUCUGGUCUCCGAGUUCACCCUCUUUCAUUUUCCUUUUCUGCCGCUAUGAGGAGUGGAACUAGAAGAAUGGAGGCGGACUUUGACGUCUGUCCCCAAGGAGCAGGGAUCAGCCUCCUGCCUCCUGCCAAGCUCGCUCAGUCCUUGGCGAGGAGGGAAUCUGAGGGCUCGAAAAGCUUACUCCAGUCCUGGCUCCACAGACAGUGUCUACAGCUACGAUGAUUUUCCCCGGGGAGCCUUCGGGGCAGCGGACCCACUUUUCAGGCCCGUAGCAGCAUCCUUCACAGCCGAGCCAAAGAAAGCGUAAGAGCAUCCUUAUCUCUAAAGAGUCGGCGGCCCAGCACCUCGUGCACCUGGUAUUCAUUCAGGUAUUCAAUAGGCAUUUAUUAAGCACCUCCUGUGUCCCAGGUCCUCAGCUAAGGAGUGAAGGUUCAAAUACAGCCUUAAUAAUAGUCAUGACAGAGAGUUGCUGUUUUUGGAAUACCCGUUGUGUGCCAGACAACAGAGUACGAAGUGAGCAAAAAUAAUACUGAUUCUCGUUAACGGUAAUAAUCAUUCUUACAACGGUGAUAAUCAUUCGCACAUUUUCAGUUCUGUUUUCGGCAGGGCGCUCAGACUCCUGCUCUUGUGUCUACACCUCCUAUGAUUGGAGAGGAUGACUCCUUCCCAGAACCUGGAUGCGUUUCCUGUCUCUCAAGACCUGUCAGUUUCCCAGAAAAAAAAAUCAUUAAAAAAUAAAUAUUUGUUUCAAAGGAUAGGUAUUCCUCA